rnacentral:ncRNA from 2 species
GCGCGCCUGUCAGGAGAGAGUUCCCUCGCGGGAGCCGCCGAAGGCGCAGUGGCACUGGAGAUCCCACGCUGCGAACGCUCAGGCAAAAGGACUGGCAAAACGCU